UCAAGGUGGACGAACCCCAGCACUCGAGAGGUCCCUGCAGUUCGAAAGAUGACGCACCUUAAAGCGCUGAAACCUUUGGUCCCGGUAGCGCAGCUGAGUAUUUUCAUGUUGCACACUUUUGCCUGUAAAUAUUUGCUUUGAGUCUUUGGUGCAGUGGGGAAGCCCAGUGUUGGAAUUUGAGUCACUCCCAUCUUUGCUACAUAAUAUGGCCAUUUGCUACUGUUCUAAUUAAUGUGGAGGGGAUGGCUGGACUUCUAGCAACUAUCUAUGACAAUAAAGUGACUUUACUCUAUUUGCUAAAAAUGGAAGAAGAUAAAAUCUAGGUCCCAGAUGACAUCAGAGAGAUGCCACACAACCCCUGGAUUGCCUACCUCUGGAUUUCUCAUAAUGGGGGAAAAUAAAACAAUUAGUUUAGUCACAUUAGUUGUGUGUGUGUGUGUGUGUGUGUAUGUGUGUGUAGUGGGGGGUAUCUCUUAUUUA